rnacentral:rRNA from 1 species
UUUGAUCAUGGCUCAGAUUGAACUGGCGGGAUGCUUUACACAUGCAAGUCGAACGGCAGCACGGACUUCGGUCUGGUGGCAGUGGUGGUGGUGAGUAAUGUAUCAGACGUGCCUAGUAGCGGGGGAUAACUACCUUGAAAGCGUAUGUACCGCAUACGCCCUUCGAAGCGGGAGACCUUCGGGCCUCGCACUAUUAGGAAGCGGCCGAUAUCGAGUUAGCUAGUUGGUGGGGUAACGGCUCACCAAGGCGACGAUCCGUAGCUGGUUUGAGAGGACGACCAGCCACACUGGGACGAGACACGGCCCAGACUCCCUGCAGGGGCAGCAGUGGGGGAAUUUUGGACAAUGGGGAAACCCUGAUCCAGCCAUCCGCGUGUGCGAUGAAGGCCUUCGGGUUGUAAGCACUUUUUGGCAGGAAGAAACGGCUUGCAGGAUAAUACCCCGUGCAACUGACGGUACCUGCAGAAUAAGCACCGGCUAACUACGUGCCAGCAGCCGCGGUAAUACGUAGGGUGCGGCGUUAAUCGGAAUUACUGGGCGUAAAGCGUGCGCAGGCGGUUCGGAAAGAAAGAUGUGAAAUCCAGAGCUUAGCUUUGGAACUGCAUUUUUAACUACAAAUAGGUGUGUCAGAAGUGGAAUUCCGCGUGUAGCAGUGAAAUGCGUAGAUAUGCGGAGGAACACCGAUAGCGAGCGGCCUCCUGGGAUAUUUCUGACGCUCAUGCACGAAAGCCGAUGAGGGCAAACAGGAUUGGAUGCCACAGUCCACGCCCUAAACGUCAACUGGCUGUUGGGGCCUUCAGACUUGGUAGCGCAAUAUAACGCGUGAAGUUGACCGCCUGGGAAAUUACAGUGCCAAGAUUAAAACUCAAAAGGAAUUGACGAGGACCCACAAGCAGUGGAUGAUGUGGAUUAAUUCGAUGCAACGCGAAAAACCUUACCUACCCUUGACAUGUCUGGAAUCCGAAGAGAUUUGGGAGUGCUCGCAAGAGAACCGGAACAGGUGCUGCAUAGCUGUCGUCAGCUCGUGUCGUGAGAUGUUGGGUUAAGUCCACGCAACAGCGCAACCCUUGUCCAUUAGUUGCUACAGAAAGGGCACUCCUGAGACUGCCAGUGACAAACCGGAGGAAGGUGAGGAUGACGUCAAGUCCUCAUGGCCCUUAUGGGUAGGGCUUCACACGUCAUGCAAUGGUCGGGACAGAGGGUCGCCAACCCGCGAGGGGAACAAUCCCAGAAACCCGAUCGUAGUCCGGAUCGCAGUCACGAAAACUCGACUGCGUGAAGUCCGUCUAGUAAUGCGCGGAUCAGCAUGUCGCGGUGAAUGCGAUUCGGGUCUUGUACACCGCCCGUCACACCAUGGGAGUGGGUUUUACCAGUAGUUAGCCUAACCGUAAGGAGGGCGAUUACCACGGUAGGAUUCAUGACUGGGGUGAAGUCGUAUCUAAGGUAG